rnacentral:rRNA from 1 species
GACGAACGCUGGCGGCGUGCUUAACACAUGCAAGUCGAACGGAAAGGCCCUGCUCUUGUGGGUUGCUCGAGUGGCGAACGGGUGAGUAACACGUGAGUAACCUGCCCUUGACUUUGGGAUAACUUCAGGAAACUGGGGCUCAUACCGGAUAGGAUCUCCUGCUGCACGGUGGGGGUUGGAAAGUUUCGGCGGUUGGGGAUGGACUCGCGGCUUAUCAGCUUGUUGGUGGGGUAGUGGCUUACCAAGGUUUUGACGGGUAGCCGGCCUGAGAGGGUGACCGGCCACAUUGGGACUGAGAUACGGCCCAGACUCCUACGGGAGGCAGCAGUGGGGAAUAUUGCACAAUGGGCGGAAGCCUGAUGCAGCAACGCCGCGUGCGGGAUGACGGCCUUCGGGUUGUAAACCGCUUUCGCCUGUGACGAAGCGUGAGUGACGGUAAUGGGUAAAGAAGCACCGGCUAACUACGUG